rnacentral:rRNA from 1 species
CCUACGGGAGGCAGCAGUGGGGAAUCUUGCACAAUGGGGGAAACCCUGAUGCAGCGACGCUGCGUGAGUGAAGAAGUAUCUCGGUAUGUAAAGCUCUAUCAGCAGGGAAGAGAAUGACGAUACCGAACUAAGAAGCACCGGCUAACUACGUGCCAGCAGCCGCGGUGAUAAGUAGGGGGCAAGCGUUAUCCGGAUUUACGGGGUGUAAAGGGAGCGUAGACGGUCCUGCAAGUCCGGAGUGAAAGCCGAUGGCUGAACCAUGGUACUGCUCUGGAAACUGUGGAGCUUGAGUGCGGGAGGGGCAGGCGGAAUUCCUAGUGUAGCGGUGAAAUGCGUAGAUAUUAGGAGGAACACCGGCGGCGAAGGUGGCCUGCUGGACCGUAACUGACGUUGAGGCUCGAAAGCGUGGGGAGCAAACAGGAUUAGAUACCCUUGUAGUC